AGCACAGCCCUGUGGACAGAGCAUGUGAGCACCGAACGGGUGCAUUACUUGGACAUUGCCAUAGAACAAUGUCAAAGACAGCAGUAUAUGGCAACAAUGUAGCCUAAAGACAGCAGUAUAUAGGAAGCCGUAUUAUGAACCAAUAUUAAUAUCAAGAUGGUCCCUGGAUUUGCUAUUUUAUAAAGCUUCUGCAUUCAAUUUUUAUUUUAAAAGAGCUUACAAAUAUUCCUCGACUACAGAAGAUCUAUAUAAUGAACUUACAUACAUUUAUGAUAUGGGCCAUAAUCAUGGAUACACUGAGCAAUUUUUGCAUAGACUGCACAGUGCUGUGAAGAGAUCGUUGAACUCUGAACACCAAAACAGGAACCAAAUAGCACAGAAUAACAGCUAUAUACCAUUACCCUACAACAUGAAUAAGUCUAAAGUAUUAAGAGACGUAGUAAGGAAGAUAGACAAGAAAGUAACUGCAGUAAGGGCACCAACAUUAUUCAACACUAUACAAUAUGAAAAAGACGUAAGAAAAGACACAGAAAGAUCAGGUGUUUAUGAAUACCAGUAACAUUUUUACCUAGCAAUAAGAAAGUCACAUAUGUAGGAGUAACAAAGAGAACUUUGCAACAAAGGCUGGAUGAACAUAGAAAAGAUAUAGAAAAGGGUAGAACAUCAACUGCAUUAGCAGACCAAGCCUAUGCCAAUAAUAUGCAAAUACAUUGGGACCAAGGCGAAAAUCCUGAAACCAAUUUUAAAACCAUCGCAAGCUUUGACACAAGAAACAAUCGAGAUUUUACAAAGAACUAGAAAACAAGAACUUCUAAGUGAUAGGUCCUCACUCGAACUACCGGCGGCUUGGAAUUACUUAUUAAAGCAACAGAGAUACGUUUAGUAAAAUCGCCGAGAUUAAAAGACGAAGAUGAAGGUGUUUUUAAGACAUUUAAUAAAUCCAGUCGUGCUUAGAUGUCAAAUCCUUGCCUACUUAUGUUAAGCUUUUCUUUUUAUUUAUUUUAUUUUUGUAUAUAUUUAUCCAUUUUAUUAUCCUUAUAAUAUGCGUCUUGUUAUUCUUAUUUGUCCAUUUUAAUUGCAC
rnacentral:lncRNA from 1 species